rnacentral:misc_RNA from 1 species
GAUGAAGAACGCAGCGAAAUGCGAUAAGUAAUGUGAAUUGCAGAAUUCAGUGAAUCAUCGAAUCUUUGAACGCACAUUGCGCCCUCUGGUAUUCCGGGGGGCAUGCCUGUUCGAGCGUCAUUAUAACCACUCAAGCUCUCGCUUGGUAUUGGGGCUCGCGGUUCCGCGGCCCCUAAAAUCAGUGGCGGUGCCUGUCGGCUCUACGCGUAGUAAUACUCCUCGCGAUUGAGUCCGGUAGGUCUACUUGCCAGCAACCCCCAAUUUUUACAGGUUGACCUCGGAUCAGGUAGGGAUACCCGCUGAACUUAAGCAUAUCAAUAAGCGGAGA